CGUAACGAUCUGGGCACUGUCUCAACGAGAGACUCGGUGAAAUUAUAAUACCCGUGAAGAUGCGGGUUACCCGCGACAGGACGGAAAGACCCCAUGGAGCUUUACUGUAGCUUGAUAUUGGGUGUUUAUACAACUUGUACAGGAUAGGUAGGAGCCGUAGAAGUCGGAACGCUAGUUUCGAUGGAGGCAUUGGUGGGAUACUACCCUCGUUGUAUGAACACUCUAACCCUCGCCGGCAAUCACGGCGGG
rnacentral:rRNA from 1 species